rnacentral:rRNA from 1 species
UACGUAGGGGGCAAGCGUUGUCCGGAUUUAUUGGGCGUAAAGAGCGUGUAGGCGGCUUUACAGGUCCGUUGUGAAAACUCGAGGCUCAACCUCGAGACGCCGGUGGAAACCGUAAGGCGUAGAGUCCGGAAGAGGAGAGUGGAAUUCCUGGUGUAGCGGUGAAAUGCGCAGAUAUCAGGAGGAACACCCGUGGCGAAAGCGGCUCUCUGGGACGGUACUGACGCUGAGACGCGAAAGCGUGGGGAGCAAACAGG